rnacentral:rRNA from 1 species
AGCAUCUAGGAUCAGGCUUGAAGACC